GAGAGAGAGGAGGGAGGAGAGAGAGAGAGAGAGAGGAGGCGAGGGAAGAGCGAGCGCGGGGCUGCUCCGAAGCCAGCAGAACCUCCUAGGACAGCGGCCCCAGCCGGGCCCCAGCAGCUCGCGUGGUCGGAGGAGAAGCAGCUGCCACAGCUGCCGCCCGAGCCCGGCCUCGCGCGCCCCUUGCCGCCGGCUCGCCGGUGCCUGUGCGGCCCCAGGACGCCGCUGCCCGCUCGGCGGCCGGGAUGCAGCCGGGGCAUGGCCGCCGGCCCCCAGUCACCUGCCGCGGGGAGCGCUGAGCCCGAUCAAUUCCUAGAAGUAGAAUUCCUGGGUCAAGGAAUAUAAAUGU
rnacentral:lncRNA from 1 species